GUGCAGCAUGACUAUCUAUUCAUGUAUAUUCAGUUCAAUUUUCUAUUGAUUAUAGAUAGGACUAUAUACUUUAUUUAUUCCAAUUAAACUGCACAUUUCCAUUGAUUGUGAAGUUAGACAUCGAAAAUGGCAGAUCAAGCGCAUGGGGCUGCAUGUUAGCGGAGGUUUUUUUUCCUGGUGAUCCUUGGCUUGAUUUUCGUUUGUAUUUUUGUUUCCUGAGAGGAUCAAGCUCCAUUUCUUUCUUUCUGUAGUGGAAGGUGCCCAGUAGCUUCUCAGGCUUGUUUCACACUUGUGCCCUGUGACAGACAUGAUCUGCCUGCUCUCCAGCCCUGCUUCUGACAGCAUUUGAACUGCAGUGCCUUUUCCGUUAUUACAUUUGACUACGCAAAGUGAUAUGGAACUGUAAUACGAUCAAGACCUGUCUGGAACUACUUUAGCUGUGCGUUUCCCUGAAAAUAAUGCACACAUUAGAACAUUCAUCAACCAAUCAGAUUCAAGCAUUCAGUGGCCCUGUAGUAUAAAUGUUUUUAUUAAAUUGAAAAAAAUAAUCUUAUGUCCCCCAUUCCCUUCUUACCUUUACUGAGAGAGGACGGGGACAUUUCUUGAUCCCUGGUAGUCCGUGGGGAAUCCCUGGUGGUCCUAGUGGUGAGAGUGAACUCUAGCCCGGAGCUCCAGGGCUAGAGUUCACUCCUGCGAGAUCCGGAGAGUUGCCAUGUUGCCAUGUACACAUUUCUGCAAAUAUAUACACUUUUACUGAUAACCUGGAUAGAAAAGAUAGUAUUUUG